rnacentral:rRNA from 1 species
GGUUAAGCGACUAAGCGUACACGGUGGAUGCCCUGGCAGUCAGAGGCGAUGAAGGGCGUGCUAAUCUGCGAUAAGCGCCGGUAAGGUGAUAUGAACCGUUAUAACCGGCGAUACCCGAAUGGGGAAACCCAGUGUGACUCGUCACACUAUCAUUAACUGAAUCCAUAGGUUAAUGAGGCGAACCGGGGGAACUGAAACAUCUAAGUACCCCGAGGAAAAGAAAUCAACCGAGAUUCCCCCAGUAGCGGCGAGCGAACGGGGAGGAGCCCAGAGCCUGAAUCAGCAUAUGUGUUAGUGGAAGCGUCUGGAAAGGCGCGCGAUACAGGGUGACAGCCCCGUACACAAAAGCGCAUGUGCUGUGAGCUCGAUGAGUAGGGCGGGACACGUGGUAUCCUGUCUGAAUAUGGGGGGACCAUCCUCCAAGGCUAAAUACUCCUGACUGACCGAUAGUGAACCAGUACCGUGAGGGAAAGGCGAAAAGAACCCCGGCGAGGGGAGUGAAAAAGAACCUGAAACCGUGUACGUACAAGCAGUGGGAGCCCCACCACCAAAGCAUUCUCUGGUGUUGAAGGCCCUGCAAAGCAGAAUCGCGGUGGCGGAGCGUCGUUUGCGACGCCCAACACACAAAACAAGCGGUGAGUGCUUUGGGGUGGGGUGACUGCGUACCUUUUGUAUAAUGGGUCAGCGACUUAUAUUCUGUAGCAAGGUUAACCGUAUAGGGGAGCCGCAGGGAAACCGAGUCUUAACCGGGCGUUAAGUUGCAGGGUAUAGACCCGAAACCCGGUGAUCUAGCCAUGGGCAGGUUGAAGGUUGGGUAACACUAACUGGAGGACCGAACCGACUAAUGUUGAAAAAUUAGCGGAUGACCUGUGGCUGGGGGUGAAAGGCCAAUCAAACCGGGAGAUAGCUGGUUCUCCCCGAAAGCUAUUUAGGUAGCGCCUCGUGAAUUCAUCUCCGGGGGUAGAGCACUGUUUCGGCUAGGGGGCCAUCCCGGCUUACCAACCCGAUGCAAACUGCGAAUACCGGAGAAUGUUAUCACGGGAGACACACGGCGGGUGCUAACGUCCGUCGUGAAGAGGGAAACAACCCAGACCGCCAGCUAAGGUCCCAAAGUCAUGGUUAAGUGGGAAACGAUGUGGGAAGGCCCAGACAGCCAGGAUGUUGGCUUAGAAGCAGCCAUCAUUUAAAGAAAGCGUAAUAGCUCACUGGUCGAGUCGGCCUGCGCGGAAGAUGUAACGGGGCUAAACCAUGCACCGAAGCUGCGGCAGCGACACUGUGUGUUGUUGGGUAGGGGAGCGUUCUGUAAGCCUGUGAAGGUGGCCUGUGAGGGUUGCUGGAGGUAUCAGAAGUGCGAAUGCUGACAUAAGUAACGAUAAAGCGGGUGAAAAGCCCGCUCGCCGGAAGACCAAGGGUUCCUGUCCAACGUUAAUCGGGGCAGGGUGAGUCGACCCCUAAGGCGAGGCCGAAAGGCGUAGUCGAUGGGAAACGGGUUAAUAUUCCCGUACUUGGUGUUACUGCGAAGGGGGGACGGAGAAGGCUAUGUUGGCCGGGCGACGGUUGUCCCGGUUUAAGCGUGUAGGUGUGUGUUCCAGGUAAAUCCGGUUCACUUUAACACUGAGGCGUGAUGACGAGGCACUACGGUGCUGAAGCAACAAAUGCCCUGCUUCCAGGAAAAGCCUCUAAGCAUCAGGUAACAUCAAAUCGUACCCCAAACCGACACAGGUGGUCAGGUAGAGAAUACCAAGGCGCUUGAGAGAACUCGGGUGAAGGAACUAGGCAAAAUGGUGCCGUAACUUCGGGAGAAGGCACGCUGACACGUAGGUGAAGUGAUUUACUCAUGGAGCUGAAGUCAGUCGAAGAUACCAGCUGGCUGCAACUGUUUAUUAAAAACACAGCACUGUGCAAACACGAAAGUGGACGUAUACGGUGUGACGCCUGCCCGGUGCCGGAAGGUUAAUUGAUGGGGUCAGCGCAAGCGAAGCUCCUGAUCGAAGCCCCGGUAAACGGCGGCCGUAACUAUAACGGUCCUAAGGUAGCGAAAUUCCUUGUCGGGUAAGUUCCGACCUGCACGAAUGGCGUAAUGAUGGCCAGGCUGUCUCCACCCGAGACUCAGUGAAAUUGAACUCGCUGUGAAGAUGCAGUGUACCCGCGGCAAGACGGAAAGACCCCGUGAACCUUUACUAUAGCUUGACACUGAACAUUGAGCCUUGAUGUGUAGGAUAGGUGGGAGGCUUUGAUGUGUGGACGCCAGUCUGCAUGGAGCCGACCUUGAAAUACCACCCUUUAAUGUUUGAUGUUCUAACGUGGACCCGUAAUCCGGGUUGCGGACAGUGUCUGGUGGGUAGUUUGACUGGGGCGGUCUCCUCCUAAAGAGUAACGGAGGAGCACGAAGGUUGGCUAAUCCUGGUCGGACAUCAGGAGGUUAGUGCAAUGGCAUAAGCCAGCUUGACUGCGAGCGUGACGGCGCGAGCAGGUGCGAAAGCAGGUCAUAGUGAUCCGGUGGUUCUGAAUGGAAGGGCCAUCGCUCAACGGAUAAAAGGUACUCCGGGGAUAACAGGCUGAUACCGCCCAAGAGUUCAUAUCGACGGCGGUGUUUGGCACCUCGAUGUCGGCUCAUCACAUCCUGGGGCUGAAGUAGGUCCCAAGGGUAUGGCUGUUCGCCAUUUAAAGUGGUACGCGAGCUGGGUUUAGAACGUCGUGAGACAGUUCGGUCCCUAUCUGCCGUGGGCGCUGGAGAACUGAGGGGGGCUGCUCCUAGUACGAGAGGACCGGAGUGGACGCAUCACUGGUGUUCGGGUUGUCAUGCCAAUGGCACUGCCCGGUAGCUAAAUGCGGAAGAGAUAAGUGCUGAAAGCAUCUAAGCACGAAACUUGCCCCGAGAUGAGUUCUCCCUGAGACUUAGAGUCUCCUGAAGGAACGUUGAAGACGACGACGUUGAUAGGCCGGGUGUGUAAGCGCAGCGAUGCGUUGAGCUAACCGGUACUAAUGAACCGUGAGGCUUAACCUU